GAUAAAUUACUGACACCAAACUCCUCAGGUGUGCCUGCACACCAGACACCCGAUCUUGCAAGAUCGUCAUUAAAGCCUCACUCUGCUGUUCUCUUUGUCUCCAUGUCCACUUAUUGAAUAUGGACCAGUGAGUGUGUUUUUCACAAUUUGGGGGCUCAUCCGGGAUCCUCUUGCCUGUGUGAGGAGGGGCCCAAGCGGAGUGAGAAGACGCGUCCCACCUGGCUUUGGGCAGCCCGCUCUGUCUGGACAUCUCACCUUCACACGGAAGCUGAGGGGAGACCGGAGACUGUUGUGUAGAGACAGCGUGACCGACGCAGGGGGAGAAAACGCAGGCACCGCAGCAACCAGGCAACCUCCUGCACGAGCCAAGUGAGCAUUGCCACAUAUUUUAUGAAAAAAUGAGGACAGGAGUGUGCCUGGCUGCCCUCCACAUCCUUCUCCCACCAACUCCUCUCAGGUUCCACAGAGCCAGACUCUGCAAGUAGCACCCAAACAAGGACCUGAGAAUGGAGUGAUCAGAAGCUGAGGUGAGGACACUCCCCAGAGGAUUGACGCCGGUCAAAUAAGCCUCCUGGAGCACCUUCUGAAGAAGAAUCAAUGCAAACUGAGCAGCCAUCCACCAUCUGCAGCUUCAAAUAAAGAAAGAAGGGGGAGAUGCUAUCGUUCCUUCCUGAACACAGCAUUUUCUAGAAUCUCCCUAUCCUGUUGUUGCAGGAAGGGCAUCUCCCAUUGUCUACUGUGACCAGAGGAUGUCUUGUAUAUGCCCCAUAUAUGGACUUGCCUUGUGCCAAGAGCCAUUCCUCCCUGUGAUGGCGCCUAUCAUUUUUUUGUCCUGUGAUGGUCCCUCUUGUACUUUUACCAAGAUAGACUCUUUUCUCAUAGUCCACUUGCCCAAGGCUAUGGCUGGGCUUUCCAGCCCAUGUUGAGGUUGAAGGCACCUGGGGGCUGGUGCCAUGCCAUCUGUCUCUUGUCCAGUGCUUUAAGCUGGGCUCUCUCUGUAGUAGAAACCUGGGUUCCCUAAGACAUGUGACCAGAGCCAGGGCCCCACCGGCUGGUGAGGGAACUUCAAGGCAGGUGCUGGGUGUGGAAGCCACGGGGCCAUAGACAAUCAAGGAGACAGAGAACUGACCCUCUUGGGGGAUGCUGCUCCUCUCUCAUUUAACAUGCCUCACAUCACCCUUCUUGGCCCCAGAGGAUGGCUAGUUAGCCAGAGACAGGUAAGAUUCUCAGGGAAGGAACAACCUAUGACAAGCACAGUUGCAGAGGGGCCAUCAGGAGAGAACUUGAGAGCCAACAGAGGUGGGGCACAGAACCUCACCCCCCCCAACCCUGCAAAGGCCUGAACCCUCACCACUUCUGAGGGAGGUCUUAUGCUCCCAUGGCUGCUUUGCUGUCCAUGCCCAGCUCAGAUCAGGACUGAGGUAGCAGACAGGGACCUGGCCAGCAACAGCUGCCUCCUUAUUCCACUAAAAAGGAGAUGUGGAGAGCUGGAUGUAAGAGAGACAAGGCCACCACAUCCUGUAGGUUCCGCUCAAGGAACUACCUGCCAGCACCAGCCCCAGUUAAGGUGAGGUACAAAAAGAGCUGCAGGCAUUUAAGCUUAGAAGGCAACAAGAAGAGCUUCCAAGAUCAGCCUGGAAGUGAGAACAUUGUGGGCAGCACACAGAAGUAAGCCUGUGUAUAUAAGCUGUGAAGAGAAUUAAAACUGUGCCACUGGUCCACCAUCAGUGGUCAGUGGACCUCCUGUUCCCAUCUUUUCUCUCUGUGUUUUUCUUCCAAUCUCCCACCCACUUCUCUCAGGUUCCACAGAGCUGGACUCUGCACAAUGGCACCAAGAUGAUUACUUCAACUGAUUCAACCCACUACAUAAUCAGCAGUCUCAGAAUAAUAUUGACAAUAUGACCAUCAGAUAUAAGAUUAAUAAGUUAAAAACCAGAAGACCAGAAUUUGGUUUGGGAGUAUCAGUUUGAAUACAUUGUUUUCUCUUAAAGCUUUUUUUUUACAUAGUUCCUAGCUUUGUCAAUGAAAAGGCCUAGAAACAAUUCCAUACAUUACCACUAAAAAGAACCAGAGGUCCUUGGAGAAAUGGCUGAUUUUAGGUUAGAGACAGAAAAUAUAUAAAAUGCACCUGGAACAUCUUGUAACACCUGAAAGCAAGGAAGCUACCAAAGACUCAGGAUCCAACUUGAAGGGGUUUCCACUUCAAGAGAUGGAACAGUUUGAUUCAUAGUAAGGACAAUGCAUUAAAACAAAGUUUAAAUGCAUAAGUCCAAUACUCAAAAAAGGCAUACUGGUCACCUUUGAUGCUAUAAAACGAACUCAUUUUGAAAGCUUGUCAAUAAGUGGAAAAAUACACUUAACUCAUGUAUACUAUGUACCUAAUUCUGUAUAAUAUAGAACUAAUAUAUAACCAAAUAAUAGAUGAAGGUCAAUCCCUCUUUAUAGAAGUACUACAUCUAAUCAACAAAGAAGGAAUGGUAGAAUAUCAACAUUUUACAACCAUUAAUGAAUUAGUAGAUCUAAAUGAUAAUCACCAAGUGAUUCAUAACCACAAAAGACAACCAUGAAUUACAUGCCUCCUGAUGAAAGUAAGGUCACACCAGCUUUUUCUGUUUGCUAAAAUAAAAAAAUAAAACCCUGAGUCUGAUGAAGCUUCGUGAUCUACUUACCACUUUACAAGAAAAACAGAACAGAGGAGUAUGUUAAAUACCACCAAGUAGCACUUAACAGCAAAAUACAGAAUGUGGGAAACUAAAGGACAAAUGACCCAGUUACUUAAAAAAAAGGGGGGGGGGGGAACAAACAGAUAGAUGGAGGGGAGUCAGCUGUAGAUUAUAUAGAAGAAACAAUCCAAGCAUCUAGGAGCGUAUCAGUACCUAGAUUCUGAGUUCUGAAUACCAUUCCCCACUAAAAGGAAUCAUAGAAUCUUGGAGAAGCUAUUGAUUCCAGGUAUGAAACAGGGAAAAUACAAUGUGAACCUGAAACAUUUUUGUGCUAGAAAGUGCUCAAAGAAUGAUGAAGACAUGUCAAAAGAUAGAGAAGCCAGCCUGACAGGACUCCUACUAAACAAAUUGAGGACAACUUGAAUAUCAAAAUGAAUAAUGACAGCAGACAGUAAUGGAUUAGAAACACAUUAAAAAAUAAAAAUCUGUGAGUCCACACUGAUGCUAAAAUUGAGAUGAGGUAAGGGAAGAGUGCCAACCUAAAAAUAUACAUAAAAUGAUGUGAAUUUUUUCAACAAUCUUAGUAAUAACUUAUUCAGGCAAGAAUCAUUAGUGAACAUUAAAAUCACUAGGUAAAAAUUUUUGAGGAACAAAGUAUUCACACAGUUUGGCAGUUCUACAAAAUAUUAAACAUAGUUAUUACAUGGUCCAACAAUUCUACUCCUAUGUAUGUACUCAAAAGAAAUGAAACAAAUCACAAAAACUUCCACAGGAAUGUUCAUAGAAGCUUAAUCUGUAACAGCCAAAAAGUGGAAACAAUCUAAAUGUCCAUUGACAGAUGAAUGGAUAAACAAAAUGUGAUUUUUGUCAAUGCAAUAGAAUAUAACCACCAUUGAAAGGAAUAAGGUACUGACAUAUGCUACGAUAUAGAUGAACCUUAAAAACAUCUGAAAUGAGAGAAACCAGACAUAAGAGGUCACAUUUUAUAUGGUUCCAUUUAUAUGAAAUGUCCAGAACAGACAAAACUGUGAAACAGUAAAUUAGGGGUUGCCAAGGGUGGAGAGUGACUGACAGGGAAAGAGUUUUUUUUAAGGGGUGAUAAUGUUCUAGAAUUAGUGGUGACUGCUGCACAACUGUGUGAAUGUACUAAAAAUCCCUGAAUCUAUAUACUUCGAAAGAAUGAAUUUUAUGAUAUGUGAUUUGUAUCUCAAUAAAGCUAUCUUUAAAAAGAUGUUUUAGGGGAGUGAAUCUGAUAGGAAUAUCAAAGCUGAGUGGCAUCAGGUAACCCAAUCUGGAAUUUCAGCAUUAGCCUGUAGGCCUGUGACUAAUGUGGGGACCUGGCUUCAGAUAAGGCAGUAAGAAAUGAGAAUGGUAGAAGUGGCAGGGCUUGGGGGUAAGGGGUUGGCAUUUACAGGACAGUUAUAUACUAGGAGUUGUGCAGAAACUUGUGGGUGAGCACCAAUGUAAGGAGAGUCGUCUGGUGUUAUGGGUCAGGGGAGGGAAUGUCAGCCUUAUGUCUGAGGUGUUCACGUCCCUGUCAUCUAACAUCAAAGGACUACAACCUUUCCCAAGAUAUUCCUGAAAGCCCUUUCAGAGGCCAUCAGCAUUGAUGAUAAGCUGGGACCUUAUAUCCCCAUAGCCUGGAUCAAUAACACUUACCUGGAAAGUUCCAAAUUGGAAUUUUUACUUCUGCUGGGCACAGCUCUUCUACCUCCAAUUUGAGAAUGAGGUCUGGUUUGGUAACCUGGUGCCCUGCUAAUGAGAAAUACAGCAAUACCUCUCAGAGCCUCUGAGAAAGAGGAAGGUGGAGUUUGGGGCAGCACAAAGGACCUAUCAAUGACCCAGUGGUAAAGUCAAACCAUUUUACCUGGGUUUUGAGUUAACAAACACCUGUCCAGAAGAGCAAAGAGGGAAAAGGAACUUUCAUCUCUACAAUUCAAUGUUAAAUUCAUCAAACAGUUCAGAGACCUUUCAUGUUUCCAAAAUUGAGAAAGGAAGGCCCUCUAUCAGAUACAAUAAUUAUAAUCAGU